AAUUAUACUGAGAACUUCUAUAAGAUUAUAGAACCUUUUAUGCUAAAACUAGUAACAAGAGGCAACCCCCUCUCUAAAAUGUAGGUAUACGCCAGCAAGAACCCACCACUGACAACUAACAGGCCUAAAUAAAAGUAGCAACCUCCCAAGAAAAUCCUACCCCACCCACUGUUAACCUAAUACCAGAACAUUUCAAGAAAGAUUAAAAGAAAGAGAAGGAAUUCGGCAAACAUUAGUCCCGCCUGUUUACCAAAAACACCGCCUCUUGCUUAUAUAAGAGGUCUAGCCUGCCCAGUGACUUCUGUUCAACGGCCGCGGUAUCCUAACCGUGCAAAGGUAGCGUAAUCACUUGUCUUUUAAAUAAAGACCAGUAUGAAAGGCAUCACGAGGACUAAACUGUCUCCUCUCCCUAAUCAGUGAACCUAAUAACCCCGUGAAGAAGCGGGGGUUUUUAUAUAAGACGAGAAGACCCUAUGGAGCUUAAAACAUCAUAACACCUGCCACACCACUUACUUACCCCGGUUCUCUCCCCCGUGACACCCUGAUUAUAUGUUUUUGGUUGGGGUGACCGCGGAGAAAAACCCAUCCUCCACAAUGAAGGGGACUUCCCUAAGCAGUAAGCCACAACUUUAUGCAUCAGUAAACUGACAUCA
rnacentral:rRNA from 1 species